rnacentral:rRNA from 2 species
AGCACCCUUUGGGUGUGACUGCGUACCUUUUGUAUAAUGGGUCAGCGACUUAUAUUCUGUAGCAAGGUUAACCGAAUAGGGGAGCCGGAGGGAAACCGAGUCUUAAUUGGGCGUUAAGUUGCAGGGUAUAGACCCGAAACCCGGUGAUCUAGCCAUGGGCAGGUUGAAGGUUGGGUAACACUAACUGGAGGACCGAACCGACUAAUGUUGAAAAAUUAGCGGAUGACCUGUGGCUGGGGGUGAAAGGCCAAUCAAACCGGGAGAUAGCUGGUUCUCCCCGAAAGCUAUUUAGGUAGCGCCUCGUGAAUUCAUCUCCGGGGGUAGAGCACUGUUUCGGCUAGGGGGCCAUCCCGGCUUACCAACCCGAUGCAAACUGCGAAUACCGGAGAAUGUUAUCACGGGAGACACACGGCGGGUGCUAACGUCCGUCGUGAAGAGGGAAACAACCCAGACCGCCAGCUAAGGUCCCAAAGUCAUGGUUAAGUGGGAAACGAUGUGGGAAGGCCCAGACAGCCAGGAUGUUGGCUUAGAAGCAGCCAUCAUUUAAAGAAAGCGUAAUAGCUCACUGGUCGAGUCGGCCUGCGCGGAAGAUGUAACGGGGCUAAACCAUGCACCGAAGCUGCGGCAGCGACACUGUGUGUUGUUGGGUAGGGGAGCGUUCUGUAAGCCUGUGAAGGUGUGUCGUGAGGCAUGCUGGAGGUAUCAGAAGUGCGAAUGCUGACAUAAGUAACGAUAAAGCGGGUGAAAAGCCCGCUCGCCGGAAGACCAAGGGUUCCUGUCCAACGUUAAUCGGGGCAGGGUGAGUCGACCCCUAAGGCGAGGCCGAAAGGCGUAGUCGAUGGGAAACGGGUUAAUAUUCCCGUACUUGGUGUUACUGCGAAGGGGGGACGGAGAAGGCUAUGUUGGCCGGGCGACGGUUGUCCCGGUUUAAGCGUGUAGGUGUGUGUUCCAGGUAAAUCCGGUUCACUUUAACACUGAGGCGUGACGACGAGGCACUACGGUGCUGAAGCAACAAAUGCCCUGCUUCCAGGAAAAGCCUCUAAGCAUCAGGUAACAUCAAAUCGUACCCCAAACCGACACAGGUGGUCAGGUAGAGAAUACCAAGGCGCUUGAGAGAACUCGGGUGAAGGAACUAGGCAAAAUGGUGCCGUAACUUCGGGAGAAGGCACGCUGACACGUAGGUGAAGUGAUUUACUCAUGGAGCUGAAGUCAGUCGAAGAUACCAGCUGGCUGCAACUGUUUAUUAAAAACACAGCACUGUGCAAACACGAAAGUGGACGUAUACGGUGUGACGCCUGCCCGGUGCCGGAAGGUUAAUUGAUGGGGUCAGCGCAAGCGAAGCUCCUGAUCGAAGCCCCGGUAAACGGCGGCCGUAACUAUAACGGUCCUAAGGUAGCGAAAUUCCUUGUCGGGUAAGUUCCGACCUGCACGAAUGGCGUAAUGAUGGCCAGGCUGUCUCCACCCGAGACUCAGUGAAAUUGAACUCGCUGUGAAGAUGCAGUGUACCCGCGGCAAGACGGAAAGACCCCGUGAACCUUUACUAUAGCUUGACACUGAACAUUGAGCCUUGAUGUGUAGGAUAGGUGGGAGGCUUUGAAGUGUGGACGCCAGUCUGCAUGGAGCCGACCUUGAAAUACCACCCUUUAAUGUUUGAUGUUCUAACGUGGACCCGUUACCCGGGUUGCGGACAGUGUCUGGUGGGUAGUUUGACUGGGGCGGUCUCCUCCUAAAGAGUAACGGAGGAGCACGAAGGUUGGCUAAUCCUGGUCGGACAUCAGGAGGUUAGUGCAAUGGCAUAAGCCAGCUUGACUGCGAGCGUGACGGCGCGAGCAGGUGCGAAAGCAGGUCAUAGUGAUCCGGUGGUUCUGAAUGGAAGGGCCAUCGCUCAACGGAUAAAAGGUACUCCGGGGAUAACAGGCUGAUACCGCCCAAGAGUUCAUAUCGACGGCGGUGUUUGGCACCUCGAUGUCGGCUCAUCACAUCCUGGGGCUGAAGUAGGUCCCAAGGGUAUGGCUGUUCGCCAUUUAAAGUGGUACGCGAGCUGGGUUUAGAACGUCGUGAGACAGUUCGGUCCCUAUCUGCCGUGGGCGCUGGAGAACUGAGGGGGGCUGCUCCUAGUACGAGAGGACCGGAGUGGACGCAUCACUGGUGUUCGGGUUGUCAUGCCAAUGGCACUGCCCGGUAGCUAAAUGCGGAAGAGAUAAGUGCUGAAAGCAUCUAAGCACGAAACUUGCCCCGA